rnacentral:misc_RNA from 1 species
GAUGAAGAACGCAGCGAAAUGCGAUAAGUAAUGUGAAUUGCAGAGUUCAGUGAAUCAUCGAAUCUUUGAACGCACCUUGCGCUCCUUGGUAUUCCGAGGAGCAUGCCUGUUUGAGUGUCAUGAAAUUCUCAACCUUUUCAGCUUUCUUUGUUGAUCAGGCUUGGAUGUGGGAGUAUGCGGGCUUCUCAGAAGUCGGCUCUCCUGAAAUGCAUUAGCGGGACCUUUGUUGCCUGGCUUUGGUGUGAUAAUUAUCUACGCCAUUGUAGUCAAGCAGCUUAAAAUGAGGUUUCAGCUUCUAACCGUCUCCCCUGAGACAACUUUUUGACAAUUUGACCUCAAAUCAGGUAGGACUACCCGCUGAACUUAAGCAUAUCAAUAAGCGGAGGA